rnacentral:lncRNA from 10 species
GUGCCUUUACUCUACGCCCCCGGCUCCCCCGAACUUCUGUCCUCAUUUCAGGGCGACUUUGGGAACACAAUAGUCGACUCGCCGACGUUCCCUUAGACGCGUUGCCAUACGUCGUCACCCAUAGAAACGGCUUUCCGCGGGGCAGACUCCAAGUCUCGCCUGUGUGAGCGGGCAGGGGUAGCAGGAAAGGCUGUUUUUCAUUUCCAAGAGAAAACCGUCACCCCGCCCACCUCGAACCUCCUCCCAACAUCUCAGGAUAGAAACGCCGCGCUCAGAAAGAUACAAGUCUUCUCAUUGGAAAUGUUAACCAAGAUGAAUGAAAUGGAAACCAACACCUGGACAUGUCAUGGUGAAAUGUUAGAACACUGGGCACGAAGUUUAGAGACUGGGUCUUGCUCU